UACGGAGGGUGCGAGCGUUGUCCGGAAUCACUGGGCGUAAAGGGUGCGUAGGUGGUGAGGUAAGUCGGAUGUGAAAGCUCGGAGCUCAACUCCGAAAUGGCAUUGGAAACUACCUUGCUCGAGGGUUGGAGGGGGGACUGGAAUGCUUGGUGUAGCAGUGAAAUGCGUAGAUAUCAAGCGGAACACCAGUGGCGAAGGCGAGUCCCUGGACAACUCCUGACACUGAGGCACGAAAGCUAGGGGAGCAAACAGG
rnacentral:rRNA from 1 species